UUUUAAAUUCUAAUUUAAUAGAAGUCAAGUUAUGGUCUGAGAGAUAACUUAAAAAUGGAAAGUUAUUUAGAAACAAGAUAAAAGGCAAAACACCAAACUUCAUACAAACUUAAAUGUUUGACAUUUAAAAAUUAAAGAGAUUUUUUUUUUAAGUGUAUUUGAGACAAAUAAGCCAACCUUGGUACAUAACCGCUGAAAACUAAAAAACCGUACCCUAAACCAACACAGGUGGAUAGGUCGAGUAGACUAAGGUGUAUGAGAUAAUUAUGUUGAAGGAACUCGGCAAAAUGACUCUGUAACUUCGGGAGAAAGAGUACCUUUUUAUUUAAAUGUUUAUCGACGAAAUAAUAAGAAG
rnacentral:rRNA from 1 species